rnacentral:ncRNA from 2 species
UCACACCGAGCGGGAGAGUCCUGUCGAGGUCGGGCAGGCGCCGAAGGAGCAAAUCCUCCCCGGAAUCUCUCAGGCACCCCUACCGCUCGGGACAG